AAGAAGAAGAAGAAGAAGAAGAAGAAGAAGAAGAGUCUUAAGCUCCGCCCACGGACAUUUCAUUUAGACUCCACCCCUCACUUCACGUUGCUGAAAUGAAAAGCAGAUGGAAGAAGUUGACAAUUAGGAAUCAUUUUGCAUCAUUAGUGUUGCUGUGAGCUGAAUCGGCACUGCCUGUGCAACAUUUGGCAAAAAAACCUUUGCUUGAGUCUACAUGAAUGUGAGGUGGAUGGGGAUGUCUUUGAUGAGCUUGUCAAGUCAGGGGUUUUGACUUUCAAGGUCCUUUUAUCAGUGACAGAGUAAGAGAUUCAUUUGACUGGAGAUGAAGCAGACUCCACUAUCCCCAGCUUCACCCCAGUUAUCGCCAGUUGGUGGCGAUAACAGGUUCGACAAUUUAUCCUUCAGCCCACAAGAAAGAGGAACCCAACAGAACCAAUGGAUCAGGAUGAAUCAAGACAGAAAGUCGGUGGUGUUUUGAGGGCCAAUCCGAAAGAUGGUGAACAUCCUGGUUGCAGAUAUGAUGGAGCUGCAUGGGUCACUUCCCCCUUUCCAUUAGAACAGUCAUUCCAGACUGUCAUCAACUGCAGUAAGACCAUGUACUGUGGGAAUGGUUCUAUCUGUGAUCAUUAACUAUGACGUGUUUUGAAAGGAGGGUUCCACCAUCAUGUGUGAUGACAAAUUACGCCCUGGAGGUAGAACAGGUCGUCCAGAAAUCGUAAGGUUGGUUGGAUCCUUGCUCCCUCCACCGAGUCCUACACUUCUCCUGGCUCUCAAAGUUGUUCCAAGACUGUUUCUUCAGGAUGGUCCAAAAACCAGAGGAGAAUAUCUGUUAACUGGUCAACAGCUGUUUGGUGAGGAGUGCAAGGAGGCACUAUCUACAAUAAGACAUUCAACCGAUGAAUCCGUGGUCAAAGAAGAUGAGAGCAACUUUCCAGUAUCGGCAGAAUAUGAUCCAAGCACAAGAUGUAUCAUCGUCUGUCCUCAAUGUGUUCCCUCGCUUCCUAAAUGUUCCUGGAUUGAUUGACCAGGAUUUUUCAAUGAUUUUGCUGAUGAAGUAUCUCAGAGGUUCCUGGCUAAGUGGUCAACUGUCUUCAAAGCAAAAGUCAUUGCAGACUGCAAGACUCUCCCGCAAAAGCAGAACAUUGAUGAGUUGCUGUCAGGAACUGAACCUCAACCUGAUGACAGCUGUGGCUGGGGCAGUGAUACAUUCUGCAGCCUUCUACUCCUGCAUCUGCUCCCUCUGACUUCUAGAGGCCAGGAAAAAAAACAGCAAAGAUCAGUUUGGCUCAAGCAGCCAACCAUCUUCUCAGACAUCUUAAGGUUGCAGAUGUUCUUGAAUCAGCUAAUUGUGUUGAUUCAAUGUCAUAAUGCUAAACACCUGAGAAAUGGAAACCAGUGUGACCCACUUCCAAGACUGUUGACACAAGACAACCAUUUCUCCUCUGCAUCAGUGAGCAAAGGUGACAUCCAGAGGUUCUACAUUAUUGACCAAAAGCCGGUUCCAUGCAAGGCACAUACAUUUAUUGCAGCUUUUGAUGAACUGUUCAAAGCUCGCUAUGUCUUCAGUCUCUCAUAUGGUUAAAAAUGGAUAAGCGCAAACAUUUGGGUCUGAAUGCUGCCCAGUCAUGGUGUCUUCUAUGUAACACUCUACUUAUAUUUGGUGAUGUCAUUGAAAGGAAUACAGUAAUGAUCACUGGAACUUCCUCCUCCUUUUGAUGCAGAUUGUCAACAUACCUGUAGUGUUCUCCUACACCAUAACUGAUGGAAUGAUCCUUUACUUGAAACAUCUGAUAAGUGAGCACCACACUCGCUACAAAGCAUUGCUGCCUGGUAAGAAGUUGAUUCCCAAGCAUACAAAACAUUGGCCCUCUUAUCCAUAUGUGGUGCAUGUGUUUUGAAGCCAAACACAAUUCUUUCAAAAGGUGUGGUUAAAAUUUUUUGUCAUGGCCUUUCACUAUGAAAAUUAUUAUUUUAGAAGAUUUGCAUUUGGCCAUACAACAUCAAAAACAAUCUGCAACUUGAAAGGUGGGGAGGAACGUGUUCAGGCAUGAUGUCUGCAAGCAUCUUCCAAGUGUGUCAAGUACCAACUGGGUGACAAGUUAUGGUAUAGAGUCCCAUGUUGGUGUGUUCAUAUGUACUGGAUGUAGCUUUAAUCUACCUGUGUUCAAGAAGAUCUGUGAUAUAAUAAAACACAAAGAAUGUGCUUUCAUAAUAGCCUGUAAUGUAGAAAUUAUGUACUAUGAGGACCUGUUUAACACGUACUGCAUAGAAGACCAAAUGCUUGAGUUUUCUGUCAUGUUAAAUGAACUGACUCAUUUCAGACCAUUUGACAAGCAGUACUCUAGUGACAGUUGUCAAAGAGCAUACAUACUGUAGUGCCCUGCUGUUAUUUAAGCUACUGUCUGUUGUAAAUGAAAAGUUUUUGAAUAAAAUGGA